UCUCGAUAACGUAAAAGUUAACUCAAAUUUGUAUGGAGUUGGAGAGUUUAUCUACGUUAGCCGCUAGGGGCGCUGUUCCAAUUGCAUACAAAUUUUAGUUAGUUUUUACGCUAGCCG
rnacentral:pre_miRNA from 9 species